UCCCUGGUGGCUCAGACGGUAAAGCAUCUGCCUACAAUGCAGGAGACCCGGGUUUGAUCCCUGGGUCGGGAA
rfam:TPA: Bos taurus chromosome 9, whole genome shotgun sequence.